AGAGUUUGAUCAUGGCUCAGAUUGAACGCUGGCGGCAUGCCUUACACAUGCAGGUCGAACGCGAAAGUGGGGGCAACCCUGCGAGUAGAGUGGCGAACGGGUGAGUAAUACAUCGGAACGUACCCAGGAGUGGGGGACAACCUCGAGAAAUCGAGGCUAAUACCGCAUACGUCCUGAGGGAGAAAGCGGGGGAUUCGCAAGGACCUCGCGCUCAUGGAGCGGCCGAUGUCGGAUUAGCUAGUUGGCGGGGUAAGAGCCCACCAAGGCGACGAUCCGUAGCUGGCUUGAGAGAACGACCAGCCACACUGGGACUGAGACACGGCCCAGACUCCUACGGGAGGCAGCAGUGGGGAAUUUUGGACAAUGGGGGCAACCCUGAUCCAGCCAUGCCGCGUGAGUGAAGAAGGCCUUCGGGUUGUAAAGCUCUUUCGGCCGGAACGAAAUCGCGCACGUGAAUAACGUGCGUGGAUGACGGUACUGGAAGAAGAAGCACCGGCUAACUACGUGCCAGCAGCCGCGGUAAUACGUAGGGUGCGAGCGUUAAUCGGAAUUACUGGGCGUAAAGCGUGCGCAGGCGGUUCUGCAAGUCAGAUGUGAAAUCCCCGGGCUUAACCUGGGAACUGCGUUUGAAACUACGGAGCUAGAGUGCGGCAGAGGGGGGUGGAAUUCCCGUGUAGCAGUGAAAUGCGUAGAUAUGUGGAGGAACACCGAUGGCGAAGGCAGCCCCCUGGGCCGACACUGACGCUCAGGCACGAAAGCGUGGGGAGCAAACAGGAUUAGAUACCCUAGUAGUCC
rnacentral:rRNA from 1 species